GCCGGGUACGGUGGCUCACACCGGUAAUCCCAACACUUUGGGAGGCCGAGGUGGGUGUUAUCACUUGAGGUCAGGAGUUCGAGACCAGCCUGGCCAACAUGGUGAAACCCCCAUCUCUACUAAAAAUACAAAAAGGCUUCAGCUUCCCGAGUAGCUGGGAUUACAGGCAUGCAACACCACACCAGCUAACUUUUUGUAUUUUUAGUAGAGACAGGGUUUCACUAUGUUGGCCAGGCUGGUCUCAAACUCCUGACCUCAGGUGAUCCACCUGC
rnacentral:lncRNA from 1 species